rnacentral:RNase_P_RNA from 1 species
GGCUAUGCAGCAGCGGAAACGUUUUAGUUUAUGAGGAAAGUCCGGGCAUCACAGAGCAAGGUAACUGCUAACGGCAGCCGAGGGCGACCUUAGGGCAAGUGCAACAGAGAGAUACUGCCCUGCAAUUCUGCGGGGUGAUGGUGGAAAGGCGAGGUAAGAGCUCACCAGAGUGCAGGAGACUGCACUGCUAUGUAAACCCUACCCGAUGCAACGUCUAUUGGUGCUUUAUAUCUUAACGCCUGCUCGGCGGAUAUGAAGUAAUGACGGCUUGAACCUGUCGGCGACGGCAGGUCUAGAUAAAUUGCUGCACACGACAGAACCCGGCUUAUCGGUCUGGUCAUAUA